rnacentral:misc_RNA from 1 species
CAAGCUUGCUGAUGAUGUUCAGGCGCACAUCGGGAAACUCAUCCUUCAGAAGGGAAAGAAAUAUUGGAAGAAGAUGUUCAAUGGUUGCAUCCUUUCCCAAAACAGGAGCCAUCCCCAUUAUAACGGAAGCCAAAGCAGAUCUGACAUGUUGUGAAGAGUCUGAUGAUAAUUCCUUCACACAGGGAAGAAUAUGCUGAAUCGCAAGCUCGGGACUAAGAAUUCUGCAGAAUUUGGUUACUUUUCCUGCAGCAGCUAUGCGAACUUCAGCUUCAUUAUCUCGAAGCAAACGGACAUAGGCAGGCACCAAAUCCGUCCUAGUGGGCUCUGGCCCAACAGCUUCACAUAGUUCGUACAGCUGGUUAGCAACCAUGUAUCGAACGCGCCAAGACUUGUCCUGAGAGAAG